AGGGUUUGAUCCUGGCUCAGGACGAACGCUGGCGGCGCGCCUAACACAUGCAAGUCGAACGAGCGAGAGAGAGCUUGCUUUCUCGAGCGAGUGGCGAACGGGUGAGUAACGCGUGAGGAACCUGCCUCCAAGAGGGGGAUAACAUUCUGAAAAGAAUGCUAAUACCGCAUGACAUAUCGGAACCACAUGGUUUUGAUAUCAAAGAUUUUAUCGCUUGAAGAUGGACUCGCGUCCGAUUAGUUAGUUGGUGAGGUAACGGCUCACCAAGACCGCGAUCGGUAGCCGGACUGAGAGGUUGAACGGCCACAUUGGGACUGAGACACGGCCCAG
rnacentral:rRNA from 1 species